UUUCCCUUCCUUAUGCCAACAUUAAUUGUACUACACCACCCUAGUGCAGAGAGAGACUGGAUAGCAAUGGAGCAAGCCUACCUUAUGCUACCUUUCAAGAUAGGUGCCUCAUGACCUCUACAGUUCCAGCUACAUGUGGGGGUCCUUUACACAAUCUUCCACACAAUGAAGUUCAUCACUGCUUAAAUGUGGUAUACUAUGAUGCUAUUCCAGAUAUGUUGCCAAAUGUCAAUCCUUCUGUGGCAUCCACAGUGAGUUUAUCCCACUGGAACUCCCUACAUUGUUCCUAGCCCAGCCAUCACUGGUGCCUCUGCUUACUCUGUCACCACCACAUAUAUUGGGUAUCCUGCUUGAACUCCAUCUCUUUCCUUCAGCCAGAUAACAGAGAUGAGGAUGACUUUACCUUGAGGGCUUCACAAUUCACCUGCCUACUAUGUCCCUUGAUCAGAUGUCCUUCAUAGGAAAGAGGGAGUACUGUAACAUCCUGCCAGACACUACAACAGCCCUCAGUCUCCUUGGUAUGGCAGAACAUUUGUGGCUGCCUUUGGUCAUGCCUGAAUCCAACUCGAAAGUGAGCCCAUUGAUUGGUCAACUUACAAACAGCAAUGGUUGGCAGGCAGCCAAUCGUUUAUAUAGACAAAUAACAUUGCUGAUACUGUACUGGAACUGAACCCUGUGGUACUCCACUAGUAACAUUUAUCCAGUGUAUACGUAAUAUAGUAGUAUAAGGCUUAUGCCUAUAUAAAGAACCACAUAAAUUAAGAAAUUUACAAGUGCUUUAGUGUUUAACAAAUCAGACUGCCGUGAAAUAUUAAGUAGAGCAGACCGCACAAUUUCUACACAAAUUCAAACCAUCACCAGAGAUAGCCCGACUGCAACACCAAAAUCAGUGACAGUAGGAGAUUAGCCAUAGCUCAAGCACUUUCUAUUAAGUGUACUUGUCUAAAUUUCAAUAGUCAUCUUGCACUUGGAUGUUGAUUUACAAGAAUAAAAGAGACAUCAAUUUACACCACACCUACUGCCUCAACCAACCAAUUAGAAUACACAAAGAUUAUCUAGUUGAGCCUGGCUGCAGGCUGGGCUUGGGGAGUAGAACAACUUCCAAAACCCUCUUCAGGUAUGCCAAAUCCACUUAGCUUGGCAACCACUUCACAUCUUGCUAACUGCAUGCCCGUGGAGAUGAGCGGGCCUUGAUGCGUGCUUGCAGAGUCAGCAAGAGGCCUGCCAGCACAUCAUGGUUGUGUAGUUUCUUGCCAAAAAUGAGACGACGAACAGAGUCGUCGUAAGUCAAAAGUGCAACCAUAUUCUGGAGGAGGAAGCCUUGACAGUAUUCAAGAAGCUGCACUGCAUUAUAUACCUGUCAACAAAUUUGAAUUAAUUAAUGUUAUGCAAGUUGACAUUACAGUAUGUUAAAGUACAGUACAUGCUACAAAAUUCUAACAUUUUUACCUGUCACUGUACUUUACACCAUUACCAGUACUUUAUUUACACCAUUUUACCCGUACUGUACUUUACCAAGUACGUACCUGUCAACAAAUUUGAAUUACUGUAAUGUCAACUUGUCACAUACCUGACACCACGCCACUUUCCUACUGCCAUCCAGGAACCAACCAGUGUGACAGCUAGGCAGCCUGUAUGGAGGCUUGUUCAAUGUUGGGAGCUGACUUAUGUGAUGAACAAAGGCCUAGAUUUGAAUUUUUAGUGGAACAAAGUGAGGUCAACCUGUUGUACAAGUCAAAUUCAAGUUAACUUGUACACCAGGAUUUACAGUACAACAGGGAAAGCUAACAAUUCAGGCAUAGAGAGAAUGAACUAGGAAUCUAGAAAAAUUACUAAUAUACUAAGUACUGAACUGAUUGAUGAACUUUUCCUUUCAUGUAUACCCUUAUAGACUGACUCAAUGAUUGGGAAUCUAGAAUACAUUAUAACAGAUAAAAUAGUUGUAAUAUACUAGCAGAGAAGUGUCAUAAUUAAUAGCAUUUUCCUAUGUUUAUAAUGAUAGCUUACCUUAGCAUGGAUAUACAUGGAAACUACAUUAUCAAGAUGGACAAGUUUUGAGCAGCGAGACUCGCAGUAUCGAAGAAGAGAAUCUAGUUGGAAGAAAUUUGCCGCCGCCAUUAACUCGAGUACAUCUCCGGCCUCCACCUCCAGGUUCUCACACCCGCCUUUGUAGAGAGAUUGCAUCACUAGCU
rnacentral:lncRNA from 1 species